rnacentral:rRNA from 1 species
AUUGAACGCUGGCGGCAGGCCUAACACAUGCAAGUCGAACGGUAGCACAGAGAGCUUGCUCUCGGGUGACGAGUGGCGGACGGGUGAGUAAUGUCUGGGAAACUGCCCGAUGGAGGGGGAUAACUACUGGAAAUGGUAGCUAAUACCGCAUAACGUCGCAAGACCAAAGUGGGGGACCUUCGGGCCUCACACCAUCGGAUGUGCCCAGAUGGGAUUAGCUAGUAGGUGGGGUAAUGGCUCACCUAGGCGACGAUCCCUAGCUGGUCUGAGAGGAUGAACAGCCACACUGGAACUGAGAAACGGUCCAGACUCCUACGGGAGGCAGCAGUGGGGAAUAUUGCACAAUGGGCGCAAGCCUGAUGCAGCCAUGCCGCGUGUAUGAAGAAGGCCUUCGGGUUGUAAAGUACUUUCAGCGGGGAGGAAGGCGGUGAAGUUAAUAGCUUCACCGAUUGACGUUACCCGCAGAAGAAGCACCGGCUAACUCCGUGCCAGCAGCCGCAGUAA